rnacentral:tRNA from 1 species
AAGAAAUAUAUUUUAAAGCUUCUAACUUUUAAUAGAGCA